rnacentral:piRNA from 1 species
UUGGGACUCGACUGGUGUUUGAUCACGA